UAAGAACUUUAAACUCUCUCGUAGGGAUUAUUCCAAAUAUAAUGAAGCUCUAUUACUUGAAGAAAUUCAGUCUACUGAUUGGAACAUGGAAACAUCCAAUGAUAGCAAUCCAACAGAAGUGUUCGAUAUUUUUCACUCCAAACUGUCUAGCAUUGUAGAUAAACAUAUUCCUCUGCGACAUCUGAGCAAAAAAGAACUUAAACACUUUGAUAAACCUUGGAUAACUUCAGGGAUUAGAAUGUAUAUAAAACUUAAGAACAAUUAUUAUAAAAAAUAUAUUAAAACAAGAUCACUGUACUUUUACAAUAAAUUUAAAACCUAUAGGAACAAAAUAAAUCACUUAUUAAAAAUUAGUAAAAUUAAUUAUUAUAAUCAAUAUUUUACCACAAACAAAUCGCACAUAAAAAAUAUAUGGAAAGGAGUUAAACAAAUAAUAACUCUCAAAACAAAAAACAGAGGUUUAUCCUCAAAGAUACUUAUUAAUGGUGAUGAAAUAACUGAUAGUAAAUCAAUUGCUGACAGGUUUAAUGAUUUUUUUGCUAAUAUUGGAAAUGCAUUAACUAGAGAUGUCCCCUGUAUUGAUACAAGUCCAGUGUCAUUUAUGACUUCUCGCCAAGUAAAUAGUCUGUUCUUGAAUCCAACUUCCUCUAACGAAAUUGAAGAAAUAAUUGUCCAGUUUAAUUCCUCAAAAGCUACGGGCCCGUAUAGCAUACCAGUUAAAAUUCUGAAAUUGCUAAGGAGAUUUAUUUCAAAGCCUUUGGAAUCUAUUUUUAAUUGUUGUCUUUCAACUGGUACUGUACCUAGCCAAUUCAAACUGGCUAGUGUCAUUCCUGUACAUAAAAAAGGCUCACAAUUAAUUUUAGACAAUUAUCGCCCUAUAUCUUUAUUAUGUAUUUUUAACCAGAUUCUUGAAAAAAUUGUGUCUAAACGUCUGUCAAACUUUGUUGAAAAAUAUGAUAUAAUAUAUACUAAACAGUUUGGCUUUCGUUCAAAUCAUUCUACAUUACAUGCAAUUUUAUCAAUAGUUGAUAAGAUACAGAAAGCUAUCGAUGAUGGUAAAUAUUCGUGUGCUGUAUUCCUUGAUUUGUCGAAAGCAUUUGAUACAGUUAACCAUCAUAUUUUAUUGCAAAAACUUGAAUGGUAUGGUAUACGAGGCGUGGCACUUAAAUGGUUCCAAUCGUAUCUAGAGAAUCGGCAACAGUUUGUGACAAUUGGCAAUGUUAGAUCAUCUUUAAUGCCUAUUACAUGUGGUGUACCUCAAGGUUCUGUCCUUGGCCCACUUCUAUUUCUAAUCUAUAUAAAUGAUUUUUGUAAUUCCUCCAGAAUUCUUGACUUUUUUCUUUUUGCUGACGAUUCAAGCUUAUUCUUUGAUAAUAAAAGCCUACCAAUUCUUGAAUCUACUAUAAAUAGUCAACUUGAGCA